rnacentral:sRNA from 1 species
GUCGAAAGGUGUCAGAUGGAGAGAUGGCUUCUAGACUGGGCUCUGCCCACUAAUUAGCUGUUUGGCCUUGGGAGAAUCAUCCGGCCUCUCUUGCUGCCCUUCUUUCCGAUGAAAUAAUGCUGACGAUGAUAUUUCAGGGUUGUCCAGGGGUCAAUGAGGCGGGAUAGAGGGAAGCAUCGUGAAAUCUGGGAGCCCCAGGCCACCGAAAAAUGUGGAAGGGCCGUACCCCCACUCUCCUAGCACUGGGUGUGAGGCAGCGUCGUUUCCCCUUCGCUCUCUUCGAAUGUCAAGUGCACCAGCUUCCAAUCCCUCCUCUGGGCGGGCCCUGUCUGGCUAAUCUCAGCUGCAGAUUCCAGUACAAACUCAGGACUCUCCCCCGCCCAGCCGCCCCUACACAAGGACUCGCCGAACACACCUUGAAUCCCGCGCCAGAGUGCAGCCCGGAACUGCAGCUCGCGGCGCGGGCCCAGGACUGAGCAGCUAGGCGCGAGCGAAAACAAACAGCUGGGGCUGCGAGCGCCCCCGCCCCGGCCCCGAGAGCACGCCGGCCCAGUCCCCCACCUGGGGCGCCCGUCUGCCCACCAUGAGGAAGAUCCGCGCCAAUGCCAUCGCCAUCCUGACCGUAGCCUG